AUUGAACGCUGGCGGCAGGCCUAACACAUGCAAGUCGAACGAGUGGCGGACGGGUGAGUAAUGUCUGGGAAACUGCCUGAUGGAGGGGGAUAACUAAUGGAAACGGUAGCUAAUACCGCAUACCAUCGGAUGUGCCCAGAUGGGAUUAGCUAGUAGGUGGGGUAACGGCUCACCUAGGCGACGAUCCCUAGCUGGUCUGAGAGGAUGACCAGCCACACUGGAACUGAGACACGGUCCAGACUCCUACGGGAGGCAGCAGUGGGGAAUAUUGCACAAUGGGCGCAAGCCUGAUGCAGCCAUGCCGCGUGUAUGAAGAAGGCCUUCGGGUUGUAAAGUACUUUCAGCGGGGAGGCGGUAAGCGAAGAAGAAGCACCGGCUAACUCCGUGCCAGACGACGCGGUAAUAG
rnacentral:rRNA from 1 species